GGGAGAGCUACUCUUUCCGCUGCGCUCGAUGGUGACGCGGUCGCCUAGCCGGUAGUCUGGGAGGCCUUCGCCGCGGAGUCGGCGCGCGAAAACUAUUUGGAGAUUAUGGAUGCUAAGCCCGAACCUGGACCCCUCAGUGAGAGUUCAGAACUUCUUUUCUCAUUUGGAGUUAUAGCAGAUAUUCAAUAUGCUGAUUUGGAAGAUGGCUAUAAUUUCCAAGGAAGCAGACGGAGAUACUACAGACACAGUCUUCUUCACUUACAGGGUGCUAUCGAACACUGGAAUAAAGAAAGCAGCCCACCCAGCUGUGUACUUCAGCUUGGAGACAUCAUCGAUGGAUAUAAUGCACAGCAUAAAGCAUCAGAAAAGUCACUAGAACUCAUCAUGAACACAUUCCAAAGGCUGAAAGUCCCAGUUCAUCACACGUGGGGAAAUCAUGAAUUCUAUAACUUCAGCAGAGACUAUUUAACAAACUCCAAACUUAACACAAAGUUUCUGGAGGACCAGAUUGCCCAUCAUCCUGAGACUGUGCCUUCAGAGAAUUAUUAUGCUUAUCAUUUUGUACCAUUCCCUAAAUUCCGGUUCAUUUUACUCGAUGCUUAUGACAUGAGUAUCUUGGGCGUGGAUCAGUCUUCUCCAAAAUACCAGCAGUGUCUGAAGAUACUGAGGGAGCACAAUCCAAAUACGGAAUUGAAUAGUCCUCAAGGACUUGCUGAGCCCCAGUUUGUCCAGUUUAAUGGAGGAUUCAGCCAAGAACAGCUGAACUGGCUGAAUGAAGUUCUUACAUUCUCUGACAGAAACCAAGAAAAGGUGGUGAUUGUGAAAGUCAGUGUGCAGCAUCCGUGGACCUGCCUGGGACCCAGAGGUCUGGCACUUUCUGUUCAAACCCCUCCUGCCUCCCGCUACUGCUACAACCUAAUGUUUCAGAAUCACGGGCAGAGUCACGGUACACCUGCACAUCUCCACCUGAGGGCUGGACUCCUACCACCUGGCAGCAGAGGGAAAAGAGCACAGUGCAUGUUUGGAAGACCCAAGAUAGAGACUGAACUGAACGCGGAAAGCUGCAGCCUGGUGGCGAGACGUGCAGUGAGGCCCAGCCGAGCCAGAAAAAGCAAACGUCGGAAAGAAAAAAGAGGCCACCACAGAACGCGACAGCCUCUUGCGAAGAUCAUUUGCCAGUUUUCCCAACACCAUUUGUUGAAUAACCUACCCCUUAUUUACUGAUCUGAAAUGCCAACUUCAUCAUGAAACACAUUCUCAUGUGGUCUUGGAUCCAUCACUGAGAAAGCAACUAAAGGAUAUACUCCAACAAAAUUAGAUCAUAAUUCAAGAAAAUGAAAGACCAAAGACUCAGAAAAGUGGGGAAAGGGGAUGGAGGGAUGUCCCAGCUGACAGUGUGGCUUCAAACCUAGAGAUGGAGCAGAAGGAUGGAGGGCUCAAGUAGUGAUGUCUCCUGAAAAAGCUCCAGGCAAAGCUCCAUUGGAAACGGGAUAUGACUUUCCAGUUGAUACCAUGAAGAAAUAUCAGCUCACUGGUCACAAUCCAGUGGUUUGAACGAGCUGUCUUUUGAGGAGUAGGAGAUUCGAGCAGAAGAUGGGAGAAGAUGGAGGUCACUUCAAGCCCAGUUUAAUGUGUCCAAAGAGGUUACAGACAAACCAGGUUGGGACGUCGGGGGACAGAAGCAAGGAUCUGAGACAGCCCUGACAAUUCUUCCUUUCAAGUCGUUCUCGGAUUUGUGAGCCAGGAAAACGAAGGCAGCCCCAGUGCUUGAGACCUCUUGAAUUUCCAUGUGCUUCCACCCUUCAGGACACCUCUCCCAGGUUGCUCUCUGUAAGAAAAAUGAGAGUGGCUCACAGCCUGAGCUGGCCCACGAUUCAUGUGCAGGGAAAGGCGGAGCAAAGGAGGAAAUAGAAGAAGAGAAGCAGAAGGUGGAAAGCAGGUGGGUGAGGCUUCUUCAAAAAGAAGAGAGGAAAGCGAGGAAGGCUGCCACAAUCAAGAGGAAAACAACACAGAUUUGCCGAAAGUGUUCCUCGCAGAGCUGUCACAUUCUGAUGCAGUAGGUGUCAGGACUUCAACUUACGAAUUUUGGGAGAACACAAUCCAGCCUUUAACAGUACCUGAAGGAUGAAGAUCCCGCUCUAUAAUAAUGUGGAGCUGAGCGUGCCAGGUAGAGGGCAAAGCAGAAGCAGAAACAAGUUUGACGUGCAAAAGGCAGACCCGCAGUCAACGCUGGAACACAGAGAGGAAGGGGCUUCGGCUUCAUCGUCACUGUGAACAUUCCUUUAAACAUCGCAUCAUGGGUGCUGUCACGGAAAGUCUGAGCUGCCCGGUGAUCAUAUGCAAUCCUCAGGGGUCCAAUCAGUUCUACUUUGGACACAUGGCUCAGAGCCCAGGCCUCCUCUGCAUCCCCACCAGCAGGCUUUGGCUAAUCUUGUCCGCACUGGACCGGGAGCCAUAUCCUGAGUCCCUUUGCAUCUCUAGCAUGAACCACGGACACUGGGGUGCAUUGGCCCUCAAGAACGGUUUGUUGAGCCACAGGUAAAGGAAAUCAUCAGCUUUCUUAGGGGUGGUGAUCUGAAGAGUGGGAGCAAGGAAGGAACGACGGGGCUGAGGUGAAGACAGGGGACCCGGCUCUCGCUGUGAUCCCUGUUUUUCCUGCACGUGAACGGCAAGGUGUUUGGGUGCUAGUUUCUUGCCCCCUGUGCUCCCCGUAAGCUGGCCCCCCGUGUGACUGCAGGGAACAUCUUGGCAAAGAGGCCUCUUCAGAGUGUCUCAGCACGAUGGAGAGCGGACAUCGCUGCCAGUCACGGAGGACACGUGUCUCCGGAACCACCGAGUUCCAACCAGUAGCCUCGCCGAGUUCUGGCAAUCUGUGUGUGAAUUGUGCCCUACUCCAAAGUGUACCCAGAUUGGGGGUGGGGGACGGUCACCCCCUCCUUUGAAACUGCUGUUCCUCUCCAUUUGCUGCCGCAGAUGCCAACACAAUUCUUGUUGCAUUAACUUGGCUGGGAGAGUGAGGAAAUGGCAGCAGCAUUAAUUAAAAAUAAUAUGCCACCCAGGAGAUAGCUUGAGCUCGCUCCUUUUCUUAGUAUUCCUCUCGAUUCUUCUCCUUCCAGCUUGCGGCUGACGCGCUAUAGGUGCCAGGGAGGGGAACCCGUGAUGUUCAGGAGAAGGAUGACAGAAGAGUGAGAGAUUUUAGAGAGAGGGGCUCCAAAUGUGAUGAAAAUCUUCAACCUUACAGGUAUCUGUAAGGCAGAGUUUUGAAGGCACUAAAAAGAAUAGUAAAAAAAUCAGGGGGAAAGAACUGGAUUCCUGAAGUUAGGGGGACAAGGGAAGGAUUGGCAGAAAGUGGUAUAAGUGGAUACUUUUAAAAAAUAAAUAAGAGAAGAAAUACCAUUCUACAAGAAAAGGGACCAGGUCUCUUUGGAGAAAUGGCCGUCAAUGGUUGGGGCAGGAAAUGUAUAACUUUGUAAGAAGGUCUUAUAGUGCUGAAAAGUAAAGCAGUGUUCAGAAACAAACAACCUAAAACCCCAAUGGCGGUGUGUAUGUCAAAUGGACACAAGAACCAACUGAAAGAGCUCGUGACGGGCAAAGCUGGGCCAACUUGAACAAGAAAAUGAAUGAUGUAGUGUCAGAUUAUAGCCCAAAGUAUAAGUAUCCAUGAGUCCAUACUGAUGUAGAUAAAUGAUUGAAUAUAUACAUAAGUGGAGGAGAAAAGACAAAUCUCUUGUGCAGAAGAAUUCCAAAUAAUUGAGGUACGUGCACCCCCUUCAUGGAGGUGGAGAGUAAAUCUCCACUCCUUACAUGUGACCUGUGCUUAGUGACUUCCUUCCAAAGAGUACGGUAUGCAUAACUUCAUAGUGGAGAAAUCUGACAAACACUGCCUCAGCAGCGGUUAUCAAGGUCAAUGUCAUUAUGGUUAAAUCACAUUAAUAGCUGGUAUCCUUGAUAUGAUGAGAAUGAUACUUCACCUCAGUGACCUUCCUGCCCCAAACCCAUAACUCCAGUCUACCCAUGAGAAAUAUCAUCAGAGAAACCCAAGUGGAAGGACAUUCUACAGAAUACCUGACCCAUAAUCCUCCAAUCUGUCAAAGUCAUCAAAAACAAGAAAUGUCUGAGAAAGUGUCACAGACCAGAGGGGCCUAAGGAGACUUGAUGGCUAAAUGUAACGUGAUAUCCUAGAUGGGGUCCUGGAACAGAAAAAAAGGACAUUAGGGAAAAACUAAAGAUAUCUCAAUAGAGGUUGGACCUUUGUUAACAAUAAAGUAUUAGUAUCACUGCUUGGAACCAUCGGCGUCCACUACAAUGUGAAAGUGGGUCCAGACUGAAAAGAAAAACCCUUACCAUUGCCAUCCCAGCCCAGAAGCUUCACAAUCACCUUCACAGCCAUGCUUACGUUGUAAAAAAUUAUGGCUGUUGCAAGCUGUGGUUUUUAAAUUUAAUGUUGUUCUAAAUGCCUAUAAUUUCAGGUAGUCUCCUUUGGAAGUGAAAGCAAUAUUUUCAGCAUUCCAAUUUAUUUGUUCUAGGCUUGUUGACAGAGUAGGAUGACUGAGCCGUAGAAGGAAAGAAGCAAAUUUGGGGAAGGAUCCAUGGAGUUGACAUAUGCAUUAUUCAAAAUUAAACAAUCCUCGUAAACCCAUGUGUCCCCCCUGCUGCACCCUACAAAGUGUGUUAUUUCUUUUCCUGACUAACAUUUUCCUCUUAAUGCUGAAUUAAUAAAGUUAUUUUCAUUUCAUUA